UACGGAGGGUGCAAGCGUUAUCCGGAUUCACUGGGUUUAAAGGGUGCGUAGGUGGGUUGGUAAGUCCGUGGUGAAAUCUCCGAGCUUAACUCGGAAACUGCCGUGGAUACUAUCAAUCUUGAAUACUGUGGAGGUAAGCGGAAUAUGUCAUGUAGCGGUGAAAUGCUUAGAUAUGACAUAGAACACCGAUAGCGAAGGCAGCUUGCUACACAGUCAUUGACACUGAGGCACGAAAGCGUGGGGAGAAACAGG
rnacentral:rRNA from 1 species